UACAGAGGGUGCGAGCGUUAAUCGGAAUUACUGGGCGUAAAGCGUGCGUAGACGGUUAUUUAAGUCGGGUGUGAAAGCCCCGGGCUCAACCUGGGAAUUGCAUUCGAGACUGAAUAGCUAGGGUACGGUAGAGGGAAGCGGAAUUUCCGGUGUAGCGGUGAAAUGCGUAGAUAUCUGGAGGAACACCGGUGGCGAAGGCGCACAUCUGGCCCGAUACUGACGCUGAGGCGCGAAAGCUAGGGGAGCAAACGGG
rnacentral:rRNA from 1 species